rnacentral:rRNA from 1 species
UACGUAGGGGGCAAGCGUUGUCCGGAAUUAUUGGGCGUAAAGAGCGUGUAGGCGGCCAGGUAGGUCUGCUGUGAAAACUCGAGGCUCAACCUCGAGCUGUCGGUGGAAACCAUCUGGCUAGAGUCCGGAAGAGGAGAAUGGAAUUCCUGGUGUAGCGGUGAAAUGCGCAGAUAUCAGGAAGAACACCCGUGGCGAAGGCGGUUCUCUGGGCCUUACCUGACGCUCAGGCGCGAAAGCGUGGGGAGCAAACAGG